rnacentral:lncRNA from 1 species
UUGGGAACUAAACAAGGCCUAAUAUAUAUAUUUCAUUUUCUAGUGUAAGAAAACGUUACCAUCAAUCCUUUACAUUGGCUUAGGAAGAAACAAUGUGAUUAUUUCCUAAACAGUGUUGGGUGCCGCUCCCUUUACUGACACUGUAAAUUGUCCACUCACUCUGUAGUAAUCUGUACUAUCUUCUUAUAGUCUGCAGUUGCAUGCUGUUUUCAUCAGGACUUAUAUAAUUGACCUUAUAUAAUUUAAAUUUUGUCCCACGAAACUUGAGGCACUUUAGCCUCACCUGCGGGUCCCAUCCUAACACAAUCAUAGCAUCAGUGUAUCUCUCUCAUCGUUGCUUCGGUCGACUAUAGUGCAACGGUGAAUAAAAAAGAGAAAAAUAACUCAGUUGUCUAAGGCCAAAUUAGUUAUUAGGUGCAUGUGUAAAUGCGAAUAGUUGAUGUGAUCAGUUUUUUGUUUAAACAACAAUAUGCUGAUGUGUGUUGGCAAUUUUGCAUGAAUCAUUCAGCUUUUUAUGACCAUGUCAAUAAAAAAGUACAGCAGGUACUGGAGGUCUGGUGCCUUCAACACUAUUCUAUCAGUCAAUUCCUGGAAUGCAAAGCAUUGAGGGAUAGAAAGAGUGCGGAGCUUAGGCGUGAAAAUGCAAUGGGGUUAGCAGUAUAUAUUAAUUCCCUUCUAGAAAAUGAUGUUCUUUCUUGGAUUUGUACUUCCAAUAAAUUGGUAUAAUUAUUGGCAUAUAUUUGGUCAUCGGGUCAAGAGACAUUAUGCUUAUAUGAUCCAAUCAACAAAGGAAAC